GGCUCAGAAUGAACGCUGGCGGCGCGCCUAAUACAUGCAAGUCGAGCGAGAAGACGUAGCAAUACGUUUGUAAAGCGGCGAACGGGUGAGGAAUACAUGGGUAACCUACCCUAGAGUGGGGAAUAACUAGCCGAAAGGUUAGCUAAUACCGCGUACGCUUCUUGGACUUCGGUUCAGGGAGGAAAGCGCUACCGAGGGUAGCGCGCUCUUGGAUGGGCUCAUGUCCUAUCAGCUUGUUGGUGAGGUAAUGGCUCACCAAGGCUUCGACGGGUAGCUGGUCUGAGAGGACGAUCAGCCACACUGGCACUGCGACACGGGCCAGACUCCUACGGGAGGCAGCAGUAAGGAAUAUUGCGCAAUGGGCGAAAGUCUGACGCAGCGACGCCGCGUGGGGGAUGAAGGUCUUCGGAUUGUAAACCCCUUUCGGGAGGGAAGAUGGAGUGGGUAACCACUUGGACGGUACCUCCAGAAGCAGCCACGGCUAACUUCGUGCCAGCAGCCGCGGUAAUACGAAGGUGGCAGGCGUUAUUCGGAUUUACUGGGCGUACAGGGAGCGUAGGCGGUUGGGUAAGCCCUCCGUGAAAUCUCCGGGCCUAACCCGGAAAGUGCGGAGGGGACUGCUUGGCUAGAGGAUGGGAGAGGAGCGCGGAAUUCCCGGUGUAGCGGUGAAAUGCGUAGAGA
rnacentral:rRNA from 1 species